GGCCGAUGAGGAAAAAAUUGUCCGUACCAUCUGAGACAUUGUCUGUGCAGAUUAUUACCUCUAGCUUACUGAGGCCU